AGUGAACGCUGGCGGUAGGCCUAACACAUGCAAGUCGAACGGCAGCACAGUAAGAGCUUGCUCUUACGGGUGGCGAGUGGCGGACGGGUGAGGAAUACAUCGGAAUCUACUUUUUCGUGGGGGAUAACGUAGGGAAACUUACGCUAAUACCGCAUACGACCUACGGGUGAAAGCAGGGGAUCUUCGGACCUUGCGCGAUUGAAUGAGCCGAUGUCGGAUUAGCUAGUUGGCGGGGUAAAGGCCCACCAAGGCGACGAUCCGUAGCUGGUCUGAGAGGAGGGCGGGGCACACGGGAACAGAGACACAGUCAAGACGCCGACGGGAGGCAGCCGUAGGGACGGUUCGGGAAUGGGCGAAAGGCAGACGGCGCAACGCGGCGAGAGGGAUGAAGGCCGUCGGAGCGGAAAACUCUGUGAUGAGGGAAGAAGAAAGGGGUAAGUAACUAUGCACGCCUGGACGGUACCUAAGCAGAAAGCCACGGCGAACUCCGUG
rnacentral:rRNA from 1 species